rnacentral:rRNA from 1 species
AAAGAAACUAACAAGGAUUCCCCUAGUAACUGCGAGUGAAGAGGGAAAAGCUCAAAUUUAAAAUCUGGCUUCCUUAGGUUGUCCGAGUUGUAAUCUAGAGAAGCGUCAUCCGCGCCGGACCGUGUACAAGUCUCCUGGAACGGAGCGUCAUAGAGGGUGAGAAUCCCGUCUUCGACACGGACUACCGGGGCUUUGUGAUGCGCUCUCAAAGAGUCGAGUUGUUUGGGAAUGCAGCUCAAAAUGGGUGGUAAAUUCCAUCUAAAGCUAAAUAUUGGCGAGAGACCGAUAGCGAACAAGUACCGUGAGGGAAAGAUGAAAAGAACUUUGGAAAGAGAGUUAAACAGUACGUGAAAUUGCUGAAAGGGAAACGCUUGAAGUCAGUCGCGUUGGUCGAGAAUCAGCCUUGCUUUUGCAUGGCUUAUUUCACGGUUCAACGGGUCAGCAUCAAUUUUGAUCAUUGGAUAAAGAUGAGAGGAAUGUGGCAUCUUCGGAUGUGUUAUAGCCUUUUGUUGCAUACAGUGGUUGGGAUUGAGGAACUCAGCACGCCGCAAGGCCGGGAGCAAUCCACGUUCGUGCUUAGGAUGCUGGCAUAAUGGCUUUAAUCGACCCGUCUUGAAACACGGACCAAGGAGUCUAACAUGCCUGCAAGUGUUUGGGUGUAAAACCCAUGCGCGCAAUGAAAGUGAAAGUUGAGAUCCCUGUCGUGGGGAGCAUCGACGCCCGGACCAGACCUUUUGUGACGGAUCCGCGGUAGAGCAUGUAUGUUGGGACCCGAAAGAUGGUGAACUAUGCCUGAAUAGGGUGAAGCCAGAGGAAACUCUGGUGGAGGCUCGUAGCGAUUCUGACGUGCAAAUCGAUCGUCAAAUUUGGGUAUAGGGGCGAAAGACUAAUCG